rnacentral:rRNA from 1 species
UACGUAGGCAGCGAGCGUUGUUCGGAGUUACUGGGCGUAAAGGGUUUGUAGGCGGUUGUUUAAGUUUUGUGGGAAAUCUCCCGGCUCAACUGGGAGGGUGCGCCGAAUACUGAAUGACUAGAGUGCGGGAGAGGAAAGUGGAAUUCCUGGUGUAGCGGUGAAAUGCGUAGAUAUCGUAAGGAAGACCAGUGGCGAAGGCGGGUCUCUGGACAGUUCCUGACGCUGAGGCACGAAGGUCAGGGGAGCAAACGGG